UUCUCGCCGGUGCACUUUGCCGUCUCAGGCCAGCAUCAGUUUGCUUCGGGGGAUAAAGGCUUCGGGAAUGUGGCUCCCUCGGGAGUGUUAUAGCCCGUUGCGUAAUACCCUGGAGCGGACUGAGGUACGCGUUCGCAAGGAUGCUGGCGUAAUGGUCAUCAGUGACCCGUCUUGAAACACGGACCAAGGAGU
rnacentral:rRNA from 1 species